GAGGUCACACCUGUUCCCAUGCCGAACACAGAAGUUAAGCUCCUUAGCGUCGAUGGUAGUCGAACUUACGUUCCGCUAGAGUAGAACGUUGUCAGGC
rnacentral:rRNA from 1 species